rfam:Candidate division WOR-1 bacterium RIFOXYB2_FTLL_36_35 rifoxyb2_full_scaffold_1434, whole genome shotgun sequence.
GGCCCUAUAGUCUAAUGGCUAGGACGCGACCCUCUCAAGGUCGAGAUACGGGUUCAAUCCCCGUUAGGGCUA